AGCAGUAGCCGCGGUAAUACGUAGGUCCCGAGCGUUGUCCGGAUUUAUUGGGCGUAAAGCGAGCGCAGGCGGUUAGAUAAGUCUGAAGUUAAAGGCUGUGGCUUAACCAUAGUACGCUUUGGAAACUGUUUAACUUGAGUGCAAGAGGGGGGAGUGGAAUUCCAUGUGUAGCGGUGAAAUGCGUAGAUAUAUGGAGGAACACCGGUGGCGAAAGCGGCUCUCUGGCUUGUAACUGACGCUGAGGCUCGAAAGCGUGGGGCGCAAACAGGAUUAGAUACCCGCGUAGUCCCUGUCUCUUAUACA
rnacentral:rRNA from 1 species